CUCCCUUACACAUAUAUUUGUUUUGUUGAGCCGUUCAAGAGUAUAUUCCCAUUUUACAAUGAGAACCUUGGGGAAGCAGCAUUUUAUUCUUCUAUAUUUCUUUACUUUUGUGUUUAGCAGAAAUAAUAGGAGGAGUCUAUGGUUUAUCUAGACCAGUGGGAAAUACAUAAAUCCUGGAUUGUUGGUGGUCUAUGAGGACUGGGUUGGAAACCGCUGAUCUAGACAGAGCAUUUUAAACUAAUACUCCAAGCAAACUAACUGCUUUAAUGGUCAUGGUGUAAGAACUGCCACGGCACUGUCCCAGCCUAAUCUGUCAAAAUAUUUUGCAUGGUUUGAAACCUUCUUGGGUCCACCUGGUGCCCAUACGAGUUCCAGUCUUCCAACUGGAGAAGUCAGAUUCCAG